rnacentral:rRNA from 1 species
GACGAACGCUGGCGGCGUGCUUAACACAUGCAAGUCGAACGGAAAGGCCCUGCUUUUGUUGGGUGCUCGAGUGGCGAACGGGUGAGUAACACGUGAGUAACCUGCCCUUGACUUUGGGAUAACUUCAGGAAACUGGGGCUAAUACCGGAUAGGAGCUCCUGCUGCAUGGUGGGGGUUGGAAAGUUUCGGCGGUUGGGGAUGGACUCGCGGCUUAUCAGCUUGUUGGUGAGGUAGUGGCUUACCAAGGCUUUGACGGGUAGCCGGCCUGAGCGGGUGACCGGCCACAUUGGGACGGAGAUACGGACCAGAAUCCUACGGGAGGCAGCAGUGGGGAAUAUUGCGCAAUGGGCGGAAGCCUGAUGCAGAAACGCCGCGUGCGGGAUGACGGCCUUCGGGUUGUAAACCGAUUUCGCCUGUGACGAAGCGUGAGUGACGGUAAUGGGUAAAGAAGCACCGGCUAACUACGUG